CUCUCUCGAGAAGAGAAAAAUGGCCUCCAUGGUUUCUCUCUCGCUCUACAAACCGGAACAACAAUUGAAAUCGAACUCGUGCCGCAAGUUUAAUCUGACUCCGCUGCAUCUACGGCGUUUCUCUUGUUGUUCAACUCGCGAGAUUUCUCUCAAAUCGCCUUACGGAGUGGCUCUUCCUGUUACCUGUAAGCAUCGACGAAGUGUUGAGAUUUUUACUCGACGUGGAGCGACUUUCCUGCUGAGGAAAAGGAAGAGCUUUGGGGAGUGGGUUGAAGCCGAGUGCUUUCAAUUGAGUAACUCCGGAUUUGACCAUCUUACGAUCACUGAUGCUCGGAAUGGGGAUGACUUUUGACUCUCGAUUAUCUUCGCUGGCUUUUCCUUGCAGUACUCAGCUAGCUUUGGUCUUGCGACGUUUUUUUUAUGCGAGUAAAAGGCAAGUAAUGACGACACGGGUUGUUACUUUAUGGUGCAGAGCACCAGAGCUUCUCCACGGUGCUGUUGAGUAUGGUAUCGGCAUUGACUUAUGGAGCGAUGGUUGCAUUUAGCAGAGUUAUUAUCUGGUAGACCGAUCAUGCCAGGUCGUAAUGAGGUUGAUCAGUUGCAUAGGAUAUACAAGUUAUGUGGAUCACCUUAUGCAGAGUAUUGGAAAAAGAUUAGGCUUCCUUCUAAUCUUAAGCAUGCUAAUCAGAUGGCUAAACCACAGUUUAAAAGAAAAGUAAGAGAGGAUUACCAAUAUUUCUCUCCUGAGGCGCUUUCUCUUGAUGAGUGAUACAAGUUUUGUUUCAGCUUCCUGUAUCAAACAAUGGAUCAAAGUUGUUCCAAGCAAUCAUGCAGGAUCACAGUCCGUUUUAUCUCGUGAUUCCAUGAACUUUUUACUGAAACCUUCAAUGCAGAGCCAGUAAAGAUUUUGCAGAGACGAUGCUCUGUUUUGUGGCAUGAGAACCAUUACAUGGAAUCUAACCCAAACUUUGUGUCAUUUUCUUUUUCCCUAGUCAUCUGUCAGCAUUUGUUCCCAAUCUGCCUGAAUCUGUAGAAAGUCUAAAAGUUUAAAACAUGGAGAUUGAUAAAAAGACAACAAACUUUACUUCUAUUAUUUUAUUAUUUGGUCUCCAUUACAAACCAUUAUUGAAUGAUGUAAGUGCAUGUAGAUGUCAU